rnacentral:rRNA from 1 species
AACGAACGCUGGCGGCAUGCCUAACACAUGCAAGUCGAACGAGACCUUCGGGUCUAGUGGCGCACGGGUGCGUAACGCGUGGGAACCUGCCCUUAGGUUCGGAAUAACUCCCCGAAAGGGGUGCUAAUACCGGAUAAUGUCUUCGGACCAAAGAUUUAUCGCCUUUGGAUGGGCCCGCGUUGGAUUAGCUAGUUGGUAGGGUAAAAGCCUACCAAGGCGACGAUCCAUAGCUGGUCUGAGAGGAUGAUCAGCCACACUGGGACUGAGACACGGCCCAGACCCCUACGGGGGGAGGCAGGGGGAAAUAUGGAAAAAGGGGCGAAAGUCUGACAAAGCAAUGCCGCGUGAGUGAUGAGGGCCUUGGGGUUGUAAAGCUUUUUUCCCCGGGAGGAAAAUAAAAGACCGGGGAAUUAAAGCCCGGGAAAGCCCGGUC